rnacentral:lncRNA from 1 species
AUGUUUUAUCUGAUUUCAUCACAGUUUCCACAGAUGUCUUGGGGCCUUAAACAUUCUAUUGCCUAAAUGUGGUUGACAAUAUGAUUAAGCUUUGUCAAAUGCUUAGGCUACUGAUACGGUAAAGGUCAUGAUUAAAAUUGCAUUUUAACCCUCAUCUUUCUUCACUACAGCUAAUCACCAUAUCUGUUUAAGAAUGAGGAGUGUCGAAAUGAGUUUGCGAAAAGAUGACAUUAUAUUUGUCAAAUGCUUAGGCUACUGAUACGGUAAAGGUCAUGAUUAAAAUUGCAUUUUAACCCUCAUCUUUCUUCACUACAGCUAAUCACCAUAUCUGUUUAAGAAUGAGGAGUGUCGAAAUGAGUUUGCGAAAAGAUGACAUUAUUGAGAUGAUAGCUUUAUCAAAUGCUUAGGCUAAUGAGAAGGAUGACUUUGGUUUGGAUUUUGACUUUUGAAACCUAGCAUGAGAAAGGGAUAAACAUAUAAAGAUUUUUAUCUCCUUGCCUCCUUUUCUUAUCAGUUGCUUUGCGGAUGGCUGCAGAUAUAUAGUGAAAAGAGCCUGCAGAUAGAACAAAGCCAUCUUUUAGUUUCAAAUUCAUCCUUCAGGAUUAAGAUCAAUCUUCAAUAGAUCCUAAAUUUUAUUUUCACUGCAUUGGCACAAACCUCAAUUUUAUUUUCUCUGCAUUGGUACCAUGUGUCUGUUCAUCGCACUAACUUGUCAUGGAGUUGUUGAAAUCUGCAGUAACAUAUGGAAAUUAAUUUUAGUUAGAAGUUUUAAUAUGCAUUUUGGUAAUAUGACAUUGCAUGUAAUCUAGAAAUGUGUCUUUUCAAUGCAGCUAAGAGAGAAAUCUUGGUUUGCUAGUUCUAUAAAAUCAAGACUUCAGUACCUCGGUCCUAAUCCUGGUCUUCCUUGUCUAACCGAGCAACAUCCCAGUGAACUCUUUCUGGAUCCUUCUUCAGGCCCAGUCGCCGCCUUUUGCC